rnacentral:tRNA from 1 species
GUUAUAAUAGUUUAAUAUAAAACCUUGGUCUUGUAAACCAAAAUUAGAUAGAAAUCUUUAUAACU